ensembl:lncRNA
GUGGUGUCUCUGCCGGGUGAACAGACAGGUCCCAACAGCAGGCUGCUGACUGGUGGCUCCCUCCUGGGGACUACUCUCCCUGGCCUCUGGAGAAGAGAUGGAUGCAGGAGGGACAUGCAUCUGGGGAACCAGGAAAUGUCAGAGGUUACUUCCUGAGGAAGGAAGAGGCCCUUGAAGAACUGGAAUGAGGCCAUGUGGCUGACACAAGUGAGCAAGGACGUGAGGAAACUGAGGCUCGAGUGGUCAGCUAGUCCCGGUUACAUGCCUCUUAAGUGGCUGAGCUGGAGUUUGAACCUGGGGUGGUCCAUGUCGCAGAGCCCACACAGUGCAGUGACAAUAUCCUCCCUCCCAGAGGUGCAGAGUGGCCGGAGCCUCUCUGGGGAGCGAAGCAGAACAAGGCUGGAGACUCAGCUGUCUGAGGCAGCGGCUUUCAGAGCCAGGAAGCUUGGAAAAAUGAGGUGACAAAAGCAGCUGGCCAGCAAUUAGGGAGACUUCUAUACAAUCAGUAUCUCAACGUGAAGACUGCCGACCACCCGCUUAACCCCGGGACACCUGUUAACACGCAGAUUCCACAGCUUUACCCCACUUCUACUGCGUCUCGUCCUCUGGGAACCAGGCCUCCAGAUCACGUCAGGCCCGCGCACUCAGCCUGUACCCUAUACCUCGGGCUGGUGUGGGGACACGGAGCAGCUGCAGAGGAACCUCCUAGACUAUGCUGCUAUGGCUCUGCGGGCAGCUUUGCCUCAAACCUCAAAAUCAUGAUCCUCUUGGAGGUAGCAUCCCCAGGGACAGCGGCUUCUGCUCCGGGCUGUGUGAGCGCUGGGGGACCUUGGUUACGGACUCGCACUGGGUGUUUCUGGGGAGUUGUCAAUCAAGAUUCCUGGCCCCAGCCCUCAGCAUCAAGGAUAGGAAUAAGAAGGAUGCGUGAGGCCCAAGCAGAGAAAAUCCACUGAAAUUUGGAUGCUGGGAGGAAGAAGUUUUGUGAUAUUUUUAUCUUUUCUGUUGAUAUUGUUGGACAUCUGAAGCUGUGGCAGGAAUAGCUUUCUGUAGAAUGAAACCAAGCAGAGAGAAGAAAAGUCAAGAGACCAAUGAAGAGAGGUCUAUGGCAGUGGUUCUCAGCCUUGGUUGCACGUUGGAGUCACUGGGGAGCUUUAAAAACAACUGACGUCUGGGUCCAGCCCCAGUAAUUUUUAUUUGAUUGGUCUGAGUUGCAGCCUGGGCCUUGGGACUUUCAAAGCCCCCUGGAGGAUUCUUACGGGCAGCCAAGGAUGUGAACUGCUUGUCUAGCGACACCACAUCAGGUCCCCGAGGCCUUGGUUCCAGCAGCUCUUCCUAAUUCUGUAACCCAUCUUGGUGCCCUCAGUGUCAAUAACUUUCCUUUUUUUGCUUAAUUAAGAUUGAAUUGAAUUUCUGUCAUUUGCGGCCAAAAGAAAUCUAACCAAAAAACAAAGACUGUAAUCAUAGCUAACAUCUAUUGAGCAUCAGGGAUGUGCUGGGGAGUUUGAAGUGCUUUACUUAUAUGAUCUCAUUUAAUUUAAUCUUUACAACAUCCUCAGAGGUAGAAAACUAUUACUGUCUCCAUUUUACAGAUGAGCAAAUGAGACAUCAAAAGAUAAAGUGACUUGCCAAAAUUUACACAGCCUGUAAGCGCAGAGCUGGAAUGUGAACCAAGAAACUUCCUUAACCAUCUCACCUGAAGGUAGAACCAAGAGAGGAGGCCAAUUCCCUGCCUGAAGCUCAGAAAGGGGGUCUUCAAACAGCCAGAAUAUGAAUGCUUUUAUGAGGAAGAAGCUUUUGGCUGAAAUAACAGAAAACCCCAACCCCACCAGCUUGCACGAUUAUUUAACAUAUCAAGAGGAAGGGACAGGGGCUGUUCCCGGACUGGCUGGUUCAGUGGCUCAUUUUAAGUCAUCAGGUACCCGCCUCUUUCCACCUUUCUGCUCUUCCCUGCUCCAUGUCCUGGCCUCUUCCUCAGGCUGGCUCUCCUGAAGAGAGCAAGAAUGUUGCAGUCUCCCAGAUGUCAUAUCCUCAUAUAACAACCACGGGCAGAGAAAGGUAAUGUUUAUGCACCAGUGUCUCUUUUUAUCAGGUAGAAACACCUUGUGCCAAAGGCCUCCAGUAGAAUUCCCCUUGUGUUUCAUCACAGGAAGGGGGGAUGGGAGCAUCAG